CAAGACAUUCUUCUUAUAGUCGGAGAAAUAAUCUCGAGGUUAAUGCUGAUUCUUCCAUUCCAGAGCCCAAAGAAAGAAGAAAUAAUAUUUCAUGCUACGAGGCAUACAAUAUCAUUCAUUGUCUUUUUCAUUCUUCUAUACAAAACAGUGGAUUGAAUCAUUUCCAUCCAUCAUUCCAUAUUUUACUAAUAUAUGAAAAUCUUUUCAUAGAUAGA
rnacentral:lncRNA from 1 species